CCUACGGGUGGCAGCAGUCGAGAAUCAUUCACAAUGGGGGAAACCCUGAUGGUGCGACGCCGCGUGGGGGAAUGAAGGUCUUCGGAUUGUAAACCCCUUUCAUGUGGGAGCAAAUUAAAAAGUUAGUCCCACAAGAAGAAGAGACGGCUAACUCGGUGCCAGCAGCCGCGGUAAUACAGCGGUCUCAAGCGUUGUUCGGAAUCACUGGGCGUAAGGCGUGCGUAGGCUGUUUCGUAAGUCGUGUGUGAAAGGCGCGGGCUCAACCCGAGGACGGCACAUGAUACUGCAAGAAUAGAGGAAGGGAGGGGUAAGCGGAAUUCUCGGUGGAGCAGUAAAAUGCGUAGAGAUCGAGAGGAACACUCGUGGCGAAGGCGGGUUCCUGGACAUUAACUGACGCUGAGGCACGAAGGCCAGGGGAGCGAAAGGGAUUAGAUACCCGGGUAGUC
rnacentral:rRNA from 1 species